GACGGUUCCAGUGGCCUAGUGGUUAGAGCGUCCGCCUUGGAUGUGAGGGGUCGCGGGUUUAAACCUCGGCUGUGUCA